CAAUAGCGUAUAUUUAAGUUGUUGCAGUUAAAAAGCUCGUAGUUGGAUUUCGGAUGGGACUUGCCGGUCCGUCGUUUCGAUGUGCACUGGCCAGUCCUAUCUUGUUGUCGGGGACUAGCUCCUGGGCUUCACUGUCCGGGACUAGGAGCUGACGAGGUUACUUUGAGUAAAUUAGAGUGUUCAAAGCAAGCCUACGCUCUGAAUACAUUAGCAUGGAAUAACACGAUAGGACUCUGGCUUAUCUUGUUGGUCUGUGAGACCAGAGUAAUGAUUAAGAGGGACAGUCGGGGGCAUUCGUAUUUCAUUGUCAGAGGUGAAAUUCUUGGAUCUAUGAAAGACGAACUUCUGCGAAAGCAUUUGUCAAGGAUGUUUUCAUUAG
rnacentral:rRNA from 1 species